UCGAGAAUAGUCUACAAUGGACGAAAGUCUGAUAGUGCGACGCCGCGUGAACGAGGAAGCCCUUCGGGGUGUAAAGUUCUUUUAUAUGUGAGCAAUGCUUUAUAUGUGAAUAGCAUAUAGGGAGAGAUAUUAGCAUAUGAAUAAGCAACGGCUAACUCCGUGCCAGCAGCCGCGGUAACACGGGGGUUGCAAGCGUUGUCCGGAAUUACUAGGCGUAAAGGGCAGGUAGGCGGAUACAUAAGUUUGAUGUUAAAGGCAGCGGCUCACCCGCUGUACGGCAUUAGAUACUGUGUAUCUGGAAUGCGGUUGGGGAAGACAGAAUUCCUGGUGUAGCGGUGGAAUGCGCAGAGAUCAGGAGGAAUACCAAAGGCGAAGGCAGUCUUCUAAGCCGUAAUUGACGCUAAACUGCGAAGGUGUGGGUAUCAAACAGG
rnacentral:rRNA from 1 species